rnacentral:sRNA from 1 species
GAAAAUAUUAGAUGGAUGUGGAUUAACUGCCCAAAUUGUGGCUCUUACAUUCCCGUAAAUAAGGAGAAACAAACACAGAAUUCCGUCCGUUGCUACUGUAUUUAAGCUGAAAGAAACACAACCUAAAUAAUGCAUCUGAGGAUAAAACGAGGGCAGGGGUGCAGGUAACCCGGUCUAACCUGAUUGGGAUGGGAUGGCCAUUCUUUUCGAGACAUUUUACAUUGUUUUGGUCCAAUCCACUCAUAAGCCAGAAAUGUCGACAUGUAUUGUGGGGUUCUGAUUAUAAAGUAAAAGUACAUAACAAAUAAAAGAAUGUAUCCACUGAACAGUGCCUUCCUGUUGCAGCUCAUAUAUAUGAUAGGCACCUGUUAGUCACCCC